AUUUAUUUUGAGGCCUAUUUCAAUUUGUCACAUGACUCGUCGGUCGACUAGCUGUACAACGUAAAUUGUUGAACGCCCUGAUCGAAAUUUGUUUGCAAAUGGUGUGAAGUAUGAGCGAAACCAGUCCUUUGUAAUUUCUUAAUUGCCACCAUAGAACAUGCGACGUUGGAACAUCCAUUAUUUCAAAACAAAACAAAGAUGUAAAGAGACCCACACGAAUGUCCUAACCAAUGCAUUCAUGUGCACAGUGUGUGAUGGCCUUACAGGUAAUUUCAUUAAUUCAUAAUAACAAAAAAACUGACAAAGCAUUUAUAAAUUCAACAUUUGCAAGAAAUAUUGUCUCAUUAUAUAUGUAUGCAAAAAUACCUUUUGCUGUACCGUAGUUCCAUUUCAAAUCCGUCUGUUGACCAUUUAAAUAAGAGUCCUUCACUGCACUCUGAAUGAAAGAGAAAACAAUAAUGAUAUAUAUAUAUGGGAAACAGGGAGGCCAUUUGAGUAAUCUAAUUCUGAUGGGGAGAGAUGCCUCAUCCAUGAUGCACUCUUGUCCUUCAAAUCUUUUCUUGGAGACCUUCGAACUGCUGUUGUACACUCAAUACUUUUCUUUUUCUGGCAAAGAACCGAAAGAGUAUUCUAAAUUCAUAUUCCUCUGGAAUUGGUUAUGUGUAUGUUUCGUGAGGUGAUUUUACACAUUUUCAACAAUUUCACACAUGGAAGGACAGACACAAUAUUAAAUUAUAUAGACUAUAGUCAAAAAGGCAUACAAUUUAUAAUAUUUAUUAAAGCAUUGGAACUGCAUUGAAAAUUGACUCUUAACCUUUUGUGCUGGAGGAUCAUGUUGGGGUUCAUCUUCAUCUCCAGACUCACAUCAAGAAAGCUGCAGAGUUUCAUAGAGCCUGUCUUUGGCAGGUUUUCUAGGAGAUUUCCUUAAACCUGUAGAUUGCAAUGAUGUGGCUGUUCUUUUCUAAACGAGAAGAAAACAAUAGUGUAAAACAUAACCGAUUCCUUACUCUGUACAAAAAGGAAAUUACAUGUGGAAAUUAAACAAAUGCAGAAAAAUAGCCAAAUUUCUGUCUAAAACUACUAAAAGUUAAUGCCUAUAAUAAACUACUUAAAGAUAAUGUCUUAGUACAAUAACCUACACAAUUUUUAUAUGGAUAAUAUAUCAAACUUCAUCAAUACAUGCACGUCCAAUCAGUCAGUCAUACACACUACUUGCAAUAUAUAUCAAUUACAAUUUCAUUGUUUUUGCCUAAUAUAUCUGAUAUCAAAAAUUGUAUUAUUGAAUGCCAUUUCCUCAUGAAUAUGUUGCAGUUGUACACAAUGCACAUAUGGAUCUUGAUAAAUAUAAUACAUCCAUUUUAAAAACCAAAUAUCUAUUUACAAACCAUAGAAUUUAAUCUAAAAAUUCUGAAAGUAAAAAUUGGAAGCCAAAUCAUAAAAAAAUAAUCUGCUCUAAUCACACUAAUAUAUUACAAAUUAAACUGACUGUAAAAGUCAGCAUCUUUUACGACUCAAGUUUGCAAUCAGAAGAUGCCAGACCAUCCUCCCAACAUAUACAUGUAACUAUAAUAAUUCAGAAAAA